rnacentral:tRNA from 1 species
GGCUCAAUGGUCUAGUGGUAUGAUUCGCCCUUCGGGUUUACCAAUCCUUGCGCAUAGCGUGAAAAUGGGCGAGGUCUCGGGUUCGAAUCCCGAUUGAGCCC